CAUAUCCUAACUUGUGCGUAUAGACUACCAUGGUUUUGAUCCUAUUAUGUGACCAGGGAACCAAAUGCCGGACAAUUACAACACGCCCUCCUCUUUAGGAAUAAGGGAAGCUGGAACGUUUGGACUAGGUGCCCACCUGCGAGAGCGGGGUCAGAAACCUGGAGUCUUACGGCAAGUCGGGGAAGGG
rfam:Desulfosporosinus youngiae DSM 17734 chromosome, whole genome shotgun sequence.